GACGGAGGGUGCUAGCGUUGUUCGGAAUUACUGGGCGUAAAGGGCGCGUAGGCGGCCGCUUGCGUCGGAUGUGAAAGCCCGGGGCUCAACCCCGGAACGGCAUCCGAUACGGGGCGGCUGGAGACCGGGAGAGGUGAGUGGAAUUCCCAGUGUAGCGGUGAAAUGCGUAGAUAUUGGGAGGAACACCAGUGGCGAAGGCAGCCCCCUGGGUUAACACUGACGCUCAUGCACGAAAGCGUGGGGAGCAAACAGG
rnacentral:rRNA from 1 species